rnacentral:rRNA from 1 species
UACGUAGGGUGCAAGCGUUGUCCGGAAUUAUUGGGCGUAAAGAGCUCGUAGGCGGUCUGUCACGUCGGCUGUGAAAGCCCGGAGCUCAACUCCGGAAUUGCACCCGAUACUGCCGUGCUUGAGGACUGGAGAGGAGAUUGGAAUUCACAGUGGAGCAGUGAAAUGCGUAGAUAUUGUGAGGAACACUAGUGGCGAAGGCGAAUCUCUGGACAGUUCCUGACGCUGAGGCACGAAGGCCAGGGGAGCAAACGGG